rnacentral:rRNA from 15 species
GACCUGAAGUGAGGUAAGAGGACCGGCCGAAUUUAAGCAUAUUAAUAAGCCGAGGAAAAGAAACUAACAAGGAUUCCCCUAGUAACGGCGAGUGAAGCGGGAACAGCUCAAGUUGAAAAGCCUUGGUGCUUGCGGCAAGGCGUUGUAAACUGAUGAGCGCUGGUCAGUAGCGGACCUGGGGGCAAGUUGUUUGGAACAGCAUGUCACAGAGGGUGAGAACCCCGUACACACCCCGGAGCUCCCUACGUACGAUCACGUUUCGACGAGUCGUGUUGUUUGGGAUUGCAGCACUAAGCGGGAGGUAAGCUUCUUCCAAAGCUAAAUAUCCGCCGGAGACCGAUAGCGAACAAGUACCGUGAGGGAAAGAUGAAAAGAACUUUGGAAAGAGAGUUAAAAAGUACCUGAAAUUGCUAAGGGAAAAGUGAUGGAAAGUAACAUUGCGCUGUUG